GGUGUGUUCACUGGAGUGCCUGUCAAGCCAUUUGGAACUGCACCCAGGACUGCUCCGUUUUCAUAGGCUAUGCCAUAGUCCUAUUAUCUUCCUCUUCUGAAGCCAUUUUAUUUAAUGUUGUGAACUGCCUUAAACCUAAUGUGUUCUCUAACUGGGGUAUGUUUGUAUUGGAUGACGUUAUUUCCUUCCCUAAGACCCAUCCCAGAUGUUUGUCUUCAUUUAUUGAUAAAAUCUGAUUUGGGAUCACAGUCUGCCAAGGGUCCAGAGGACCAGCUCUUUGACAAGUGCAGUCUGCCCUUUGUCUUUUUGACUGUUCAAGGCACGACGUAUUGGGUAAGCAUUUUCCGUAGUCAGAAACUGAAGUAAUACUGCAAUGGGUUGCUUUUCUCUGGAUGGGAUCAGGACACAGUAGUGUAGGAAUCCUUCAGUGUGCUCUCUGUCUCUCAGCUUUUCUGUGUUCUUGUGGCUGUUGGGGGUGGUUGGUGGAAUAUUUUGGACAGCCCAUCUAUCUUAAAAUGAUAUAUUUUGUCGGCGAUAUAUAACUGCUGUCAGUUAUAUGAGAAGAGUGAGGUGUCUAAAGAGUUUGAGACCAUACAGAUGGGCAAUAGAACGAAGUCCCGACUUAAGGCGGAGACUGGAGCAGAGAGCUGACUGCAGAGAACAAUACAGGAAUCUGUUCGAGUGUAUUGACAGUUCACCUGUGUCUGCACUUAGGAGUUUUUGUAGAGUUCGGUUUCAAACAUGCAACAUAAGCACUU
rnacentral:lncRNA from 1 species